rnacentral:rRNA from 1 species
GUGCAGCAGGCGCGAAAACUCCGCAAUGCGCGAAAGCGUGACGGGGUCACCCCGAGUGCCGUCCGCUGAGGAUGGCUUUUGCCUGGUCUAACCAGCCGGGUGAAUAAGGGGAGGGCAAGUCUGGUGUCAGCCGCCGCGGUAAUACCAGCUCCCCGAGUGGUUGGGACGAUUAUUGGGUCUGAAGCGUCCGUAGCCGGCCGGAAAAGUUCCCCGUUAAAUCUGGCGAUCCAAUCGUUGGGCUGCGGGGAAUACUCUUCGGCUUGGGGGCGAGGGAGGUCGGCGGUAGUCCCGGGGUAGCGGCGAAAUGCUAUAAUCCUAGGAGGACCACCGAUGGCGAAGGCACUCAACUAGAACAAGCCCGACGGUGAGGGACGAGAGCUAGGGGAGCAAACCGGAUUAGAUACCCGGGUAGUCC